GACGAACGCUGGCGGCGUGCUUAACACAUGCAAGUCGAACGGUGAAGGGGUCUGCUUUUGUGGGCCCUGGAUGAGUGGCGAACGGGUGAGUAACACGUGAGUAACCUGCCCCCUUCUUCUGGAUAACCGCAUGAAAGUGUGGCUAAUACGGGAUAUUCUGGGUCUGUCGCAUGAUGGGUCUGGGAAAGUUUGCGCCUUUGGGUGUUUUUGGUGGGGGAUGGGCUCGCGGCCUAUCAGCUUGGUGGUGGGGUGAUGGCCUACCAAGGCGGUGACGGGUAGCCGGGCUGAGAGGGUGGACGGUCACACUGGGACUGAGACACGGCCCAGACUCCUACGGGAGGGAGCGGUGGGGAAUAUUGCACAAGGGGCGCAAGCCUGAUGCAGCGACGCCGCGUGAGGGAGGGAGGCCUUCGGGUUGUAAACCUCUUUCGCCAGUGAAGCAGGCCUGCUCCUUGUGGGUGGGUUGACGGUAGCUGGAGAAGAAGCGCCGGCUAACUACGUG
rnacentral:rRNA from 1 species